GAUGCACUGGUGGUUUGUAGCGCUCCCAGGCUACGAUGAUGAUGAUCUUCUCUCAACCAAUCACGUGGAAGCAUCUCUGCUUUCUUUCUUCGUCGCUUACGUUGGGUGAUGAAUGCGAUGCCAAUUGGCCGUCAUUGCUAGCCAAUGACUGAAUGCGUAAAAUCAUUUCGUCUAUGUUUUUGAAGUCUGCGUUAGGGAAAUAUACCAAUCGUAUGAAAAAUGUAUGUGGGUAUUCGACCUUCAAACUUUUCCGCAAUGUUCACGGAGUAAUAAUAAAAUGGUAACUAAAAUUAUCAUGUUAUACAAAUCUUGUAUAUUUUAGCUUUCCAACGGUAUAUGACCUAUUGAAACCGGAACAGUUGUUUGAGCGCUAUUAGCAUCUAAAAUCUUCCAUUCCGCCAACCAAAAACGUUAUAUGUUCUAUCCAGUUUUCACAGAAUGUACCUUAGUAUAGUGAAGAAAGACGUAGUCCCACGUCAAAAAAAAAAAAAAAAAAACAACAUUGAAACCCACGACUACGAGUAUUUUCGACAGUAAGCAAAUAAACUGAGUUCGUAGGCAAAAAUAUUUUUUUACAAUAUCUGAAAAAACUGGAUGUGGGAGAAGCGUAAUAAUCUUAGCUUCCACCAAAUAAAAAGCGUUCAAAUUGCAACUCUAGGAGAAAAUAAGCUUGCAAAAUUCAAGGUGAUUGCGACGACGUUCUGAUUCACUUGCUUGAUUGACUUUCAGGCAGCAUAGUUCUAAAAACUUUGCCUCGUUGUUACUGCCAACGAUUUUUUUCGACAAAAUAUAAAUAAUAAUAAACAUCAAUUAGUUAUGCAAUUUACUCCAUUGUC